GAGUGUUCUUGAUCUGGCCAACUGUUGUGAAGGGGUUUUUCUUCACCAGGGAAAGAAUUCUUCUGUCAUCCACCACAGUUGUUUUCCGUGGUCUUCCGGGUCUUUUGGUGUUGCUGAGCUCACCAGUGCGUUCUUUCACCAGCAUCUCCGCUCUCCUGAAGAGACUCUCAAUGUCACGUACAAGCCAAGGUAUCUAUCAGUGUCAGUCAGCCCCUCUGGUGAAGUAGUGGAGGGCAGUUCAGUGACUCUGACCUGCAGCAGUGAUGCUAACCCACCAGUGCAGACAUACACCUGGUACCAGGAGAACAUCACCUCAUCUAAAUCAUCUGGACAGAGCUACACCAUCACUAACAUCAGAUCUGAGGACAGUGGAGGAUACUACUGUCAGGCUGGGAAUACAGUAGGAGCUACAAAGUCCUCCUUUUUAAUGAUCACUGUGAUCGUUAGGACAGGGAUCUCAACAGCUCAGGCUGCAGCAGCAGGAACCACAGUCUCUGUUCUCCUGGCCGUCAUCCUCCUCUCUGCCUGCCUCCUCUGCAGGAGAAUGAAGGCUUCCAAACCUUCUACUGAUCCCAGGCCCUCGGUAGACAAUGGGCAGGGGGACUCCUGUUUUGUGUAUGACAACGUCUCAGCCACAACCCUGAACCCUGUCCCUGCUGUCCAGACACACACACACACACACAGACACACACACAGACACACACACAGACACACACACAGACACACACACAGGCCAGCAGGAUGACGUCCACUACGCCAGCGUCGACUUCUCUCGCUCCAAGACCAAGGACGUCCCCCUCUACUCCAACAACCAAUCAGUGCAGCCCCAGAACCAGGAAGAGGAUGUGCAGUACGCUGCUGUGCAGUUCAACCAUCUCAAUCCUGCCCCCUGAGUCACUGUUCAGACCACCGAGGAUCCCUCUGUACUGUACUGCACCGUCACCAGAGCCAGGACCUGAACACACACACACUCUGACACACACACACGCAUACACACACUUUUACACACACACACACACACACACACACACACUUUUACACACACACACACACUGUUACACACUCUUACACACACACACACACACACACACACACACACACACACACACACACACACACACACAGUUAUACACAUACACACACAGAGGGUACAGCUUGGUUGUUAGUACAUUUUACUGCGAUCCAGAGGUCAAUAUGAAAUAAGGCGUGCAAAAUGAUGAUGAAUCAACAUCAGAGUCUGACAUUGGUUCAAUGAAAUUAGCGUUGACAGUGGAAUGUUGAUUCAACGUAGUUUCAAUGAAGUUUGCUAUCUGGGAUAUGACAAACGCUAUAGUAUGGCUUCAAAAUUUACAAUUAGGAGGCUAACAAGUAACACUAGCAGGUAGUAGCAUUGCUACGAGUAUUAUGCUAGGUUGCUAGGUAACGGAAGCUAACUAAAGCUAGCUAGCUUCCGUUUUGGAAAAAUAACUCACUCUGGUGGCGUCGGUAAUAUUUAGAACUCACUCCUUAAAAGGUUAAUCCUGUUGCUCAAAAGAAACAAUGUUUUCUAGGCCCAAACAACAUAGAAAGUACGAUUAUAUGACAGAAUUCUGGUGCUUUUUAGCUAAUAUUGCUAAUAUUGAUGACUUCUUGGCUAAUAUUCAAUUUAUUUUCAUUACUAGUAUUGUAUGUUGAGUUUUUUCUACUUUUUAAGUGUGACGAUUUUGUUUCAUUAUUGUAAUUAUUUUGUAGUUUAUUAAGCGCUGACUGCUGUAUAGAUUGGUUAUUUUAAAAGGGUUUUGGGCUUUUUUGCAUUUUAAGAUAUUUUGAAGAUCCACUUAGUUUAGAGAUUCCAUGUGUACCUGGAGAUGAUAAAUGAACCUUCCUGAUAGUUUGAGCAUCUACAGUUGAUCUACAGGGGACAAAUUAUAGUAAUAAUUAUUUUUCAAAUAAGGUAAAACAAAUAUUCAAAUUACAUGUUGAGGUCUGUCUAUUAAAUAUACUUUUUUACUAAAUGUUUUUACAUAAUUUAUUAUGUAAUUGACAGAUAUUUUUCAAUAUUUUAUUGUUUAAAUCUGAUAUAUUUGGUAUUUGACUGACAUACUAAUUUCAAAUACUGUCCUAUCCCAAGUAGCGCAUGAGUCAUGUCACCUGCUACACUGAAAGAAAUGAUUACACACGUUUGCCACUGAUAACC